GUCUACGGCCAUGCUACCCUGAACAAGCCCGAUCCCGUCUGAUCUCAGAAGCUAAGCAGGGUCAGGCCUGGUUAGUACUUGGAUGGGAGACCACCUAGGAAGACCAAGUGCUGUGGGUG
rfam:Pteropus alecto contig9936, whole genome shotgun sequence.